rnacentral:lncRNA from 1 species
GCACAGUCGAUAUCGCGCCGGACUUCGGGCUUGAAGGUCGAGGGUUCGAGACCUGCUCCUUGCUGUUUCAUUACAUUGGUGUCAGAAGUGGAAUCGGACCUUGCAUCCACCACAGUGCGUGUGCUUGGCCGGUGAGCGCGUUCCUGUAAGACGUUGAGUCGCAAGCUAGCGCGAGGACGCGCUCUUUGAAAGGAGGGAGUAGUGUAACGACCCUGGGUUUAUGCUUUUGCGGCACAGUCGAUAGCGCGCCGGACUUCGGGCUUGAAGGUCGAGGGUUCGAGACCUGCUCCUUGCUUUCAACCUUGCUGUUUCAUUACAAUAUUAUUCUCGGGUCUUCUCUCGCUCUCUCUCUCACACACACACACACACACACACACACACACACAUAUACCUGAACCCCCGCCCAUUUCAGUCAUAAAACUCAAGCACAACACAGACAGACACGCCAAAAUAGCUGCCGCGUCUCUGUCGGAUCUCGUCUGUUAAUCGAUCUCACUUCAGCUCAGAAUCCCAUUCCGCUCCUGCUGUCCCAUAUGAAGAGGGGGAAAGAAAGCACUCCCCGACCACGCACGUUCACAUCGAAGCUGUCUUCAACUUUCUCGCUGACCAGCUUUUUCGCAGCGGAACAUGAGUGAUAAAGAUAAAAACGCCGCCUACCCCGGCCAACCCUGGCCGACGCUGUUUCUCCACCGACUAUUGGAUAAAGGGAACCAUGAGGUGUUAACAACGCUCGGUGGAGACUAAAGAUUCUGACUGCCAAUGUGUCCAGCCUGAGACAUGCCCUUAACACUAGAAUCGCUGGGCCUCGAGGGACGCCCCUUCAGAAGCGCUGGGCCUCGAGGGACGCCCCUUCAGAAUCGCUGGGCCUCGAGGGAUGCCCCUUCAGAAGCGCUGGGCCUCGAGGGACGCCCCUUCAGAAUCGCUGGGCCUCGAGGGACGCCCCUUCAGAAUCGCUGGGCCUCGAGGGAUGCCCCUUCAGAAGCGCUGGGCCUCGAGGGACGCCCCUUCAGAAGCGCUGGGCCUCGAGGGACGCCCCUUCAGAAGCGCUGGGCCUCGAGGGACGCCCCUUCAGAAGCGCUGGGCCUCGAGGGACGCCCCUUCAGAAUCGCUGGGCCUCGAGGGACGCCCCUUCAGAAUCGCUGGGCCUCGAGGGACGCCCCUUCAGAAGCGCUGGGCCUCGAGGGACGCCCCUUCAGAAGCGCUGGGCCUCGAGGGACGCCCCUUCAGAAGCGCUG